rnacentral:rRNA from 1 species
UACGUAGGGUGCGAGCGUUUGUCCGGAAUUAUUGGGCGUAAAGGGCUCGUAGGCGGUUUGUCGCGUCGGGAGUGAAAUCCACUGGCUUAACUGGUGGCUUGCUUUCGAUACGGGCAGACUGGAGGUAUGCAGGGGGAGAACGGAAUUCCUGGUGUAGCGGUGAAAUGCGCAGAUAUCAGGAGGAACACCGGUGGCGAAGGCGGUUCUCUGGGCCUUACCUGACGCUGAGACGCGAAAGCGUGGGGAGCGAACCGG